GAUGAACGCUAGCGGCAGGCCUAAUACAUGCAAGUCGAACGCUCAGUAGCAAUACUGGGAGUGGCGCACGGGUGCGUAACGCGUACACAAUCUACCUCUAAGCGGGGGACACCUCCUGGAAACGGGGAUUAAUACCGCAUAAUAUGCCGAAGUCGCAUGACUUUGGUAUUAAAGCAGCAAUGCACUUAGAGAUGAGUGUGCGUCCCAUUAGGUAGUUGGUGAGGUAACGGCUCACCAAGCCUAUGAUGGGUAGCCGGUCUGAGAGGAUGGUCGGCCACACGGGCACUGAGACACGGGCCCGACUCCUACGGGAGGCAGCAGUAAGGAAUAUUGGUCAAUGGUGGAAACACUGAACCAGCCAUGCCGCGUGGAGGAAUAAGGUCCUACGGAUUGUAAACUCCUUUUGACGAGGAGAAAAUGUUAGAUUUAUCUAAUUUUGACGGUACUCGUAGAAUAAGCACCGGCUAACUCCGUGCCAGCAGCCGCGGUAAU
rnacentral:rRNA from 1 species